rnacentral:misc_RNA from 1 species
AUCAUCGUUUACGGUGUAAAUCGAUCCAACGACAAGUUUUCUACUUUCAGAAAUAAAGUUUUCCCCGAGUGGAUACGAUUCAGAGGGCGAGAGGCGAGCGGUGAGAACAGGAGCCGGAAUGUUUCACGAAAGAGGCUUGCCGGGACACGGUUCAAUGAAAUCGACUGACUUUCACGAAGGCGUUUCGAUAAAUAUUUAUGGGGAUAUUCCACUCUAGGACGGAGCACUAUUACCUACGAUGCUCUGACACCUGUAUGUAUAGCCGCCUGCACUUAACGCUAACGUUAAACCGUGUAAUGGAUCGACGAUACUGUUGCAAGAGUCCCUGCAGCUAUUUCGAGCCCUCGCACGCCCGAUUCCCUUUUCUGUAAAAUACACCGGCAACGUCAUUGAUUGGAAUCAAUCAUCGGUAGUUGCGUCCACCGCGUCGUACAAAAAAAAAAAAAAGAAAAAA